UUGGACCUGAUAUCAGGCAAGAUUACCCGCUGAACUAACAAA
rnacentral:rRNA from 1 species